rnacentral:rRNA from 1 species
GACGAACGCUGGCGGCGUGCUUAACACAUGCAAGUCGAACGGAAAGGCCCUGCUUUUGUGGGGUGCUCGAGUGGCGAACGGGUGAGUAACACGUGAGUAACCUGCCCUUGACUUUGGGAUAACUUCAGGAAACUGGGGCUAAUACCGGAUAGGAGCUCCUGCUGCAUGGUGGGGGUUGGAAAGUUUCGGCGGUUGGGGAUGGACUCGCGGCUUAUCAGCUUGUUGGUGGGGUAGUGGCUUACCAAGGCUUUGACGGGUAGCCGGCCUGAGAGGGUGACCGGCGACAUUGGGACUGAGAUACGGCCCAGACUCCUACGGGAGGCAGCAGUGGGGAAUAUUGCACAAUGGGCGGAAGCCUGAUGCGGCAACGCCGCGUGCGGGAUGACGGCCUUCGGGUUGUAAACCGCUUUCGCCUGUGACGAAGCGUGAGUGACGGUAAUGGGUAAAGAAGCACCGGCUAACUACGUG